UACGUAGGGUGCGAGCGUUAAUCGGAAUUACUGGGCGUAAAGCGUGCGCAGGCGGCUUUGCAAGACAGAUGUGAAAUCCCCGGGCUCAACCUGGGAACUGCAUUUGUGACUGCAAAGCUAGAGUACAGCAGAGGGGGAUGGAAUUCCGCGUGUAGCAGUGAAAUGCGUAGAUAUGCGGAGGAACACCAAUGGCGAAGGCAAUCCCCUGGGCCUGUACUGACGCUCAUGCACGAAAGCGUGGGGAGCAAACAGG
rnacentral:rRNA from 1 species